UUUAAAUUAUGCUUUUGGAACUGUAAUAUUUCGACUUGUUUAAAUUAUGCCCCAUAGUUGGGUUUCUUUUUGGCUAUGUAAUAUUAAGAACAUCAUUCUAUGACUUAUGAUUUGUUAAUGCCCUGUAGUUUGGUUGUUUUUGCCUAUGUAAUAUUUCAAACUUAAGACUUAUGACUUAUUUAAUGGUAUUUUCAAGGAUGAAGUUGUGUGUUCUGUCUUUUUC
rnacentral:lncRNA from 1 species